CACGUAGGGGGCAAGCGUUGUCCGGAUUUAUUGGGCGUAAAGAGCUCGUAGGUGGUUCGGUAAGUCAGGUGUGAAACCUCCAGGCUCAACCUGGAAACGCCACUUGAUACUGCUGUGACUGGAGUCCGGUAGGGGAGCGUGGAAUUCCUGGUGUAGCGGUGAAAUGCGCAGAUAUCAGGAGGAACACCAGCGGCGAAGGCGGCGCUCUGGGCCGGUACUGACACUGAGGAGCGAAAGCGUGGGGAGCAAACAGG
rnacentral:rRNA from 1 species